AAUCCAGCCAAUUAAUCUGCUUAUCUGAAUGUGUUUCCAUAAAACCUGAGGAAAAGCUGGAAGUAGUGAUGCCAUGUUAAGGAUCACUAAAGUUGUUAAGGUCCUGGAAAAAGGCUGUGAUG
ensembl:snoRNA